AUUGAACGCUGGCGGCAGGCCUAACACAUGCAAGUCGAGCGAGUGGCGGACGGGUGAGUAACGUAUGGGGCCUGCCCGUUAAAGGCGGAUUAAGAUUGGUAACGCUAGCUAAUACCGCAUAAUAUCGGAUAACUCAUAUGGGAUUAGCUAGUAGGUGUGGUAAUGGCUCACCUAGGCGACGAUCGGUAGCUGGUCUGAGAGGGUGAUCAGCAGCAGUGGGACGGUGACACGGCCCAGGUUCCUACGGAGGGGUCAGUGGGGAAUAAUGCUCAAUUGGCGGAAGCCUUGUACAGCCGUGCCGCGUGUAAGAAGAAGGCCCUAGGGUUGUGAAGUACGUUCAGUCGGUAGGCGUUACCGAAAGAAGAAGCACCGGCUAACUACGUGCCAGCCGCCGCGGUAAUAC
rnacentral:rRNA from 1 species